AUUGAACGCUAGCGGGAUGCUUUACACAUGCAAGUCGAACGAGUGGCGGACGGGUGAGUAAUAUAUCGGAACGUGCCCAGUAGCGGGGGAUAACUACUCGAAAGAGAGGCUAAUAACGCAUACUAUUGGAGCGGCCGAUAUCGGAUGAGCUAGUUGGGGGGGGAAAGGCUCACAAAGGCAACGAUCCGUAGCUGGUUUGAGAGGACGACCGGCCAACCUGGGCCUGGGACACGGCCCAAACUCCUACGGUGGGCAGCAGUGGGGAAUUUUGGACAAUGGGGGAAACCCUGAUCCAGCCAUCCCGCGUGUAUGAGAAGCCCUUCGGUUUGUAAAGUACUUUUGGCAGAACAGCGGUAUCUGAAGAAUAAGCACCGGCUAACUACGUGCCAGCAGCCGCGGUAAUAC
rnacentral:rRNA from 1 species